rnacentral:rRNA from 1 species
AUUGAACGCUGGCGGCAUGCCUUACACAUGCAAGCCGAACGGCAGCGGACCUUCGGGUGCCGGCGAGUGGCGAACGGGUGAGUAAUAUAUCGGAACGUACCUUUCAGUGGGGGAUAACGUAGCGAAAGUUACGCUAAUACCGCAUAUUCUGUGAGCAGGAAAGCAGGGGAUCGCAAGACCUUGCGCUGAUUGAGCGGCCGAUAUCAGAUUAGCUAGUUGGUGAGGUAAAGGCUCACCAAGGCGACGAUCUGUAGCGGGUCUGAGAGGAUGAUCCGCCACACUGGAACUGAGACACGGUCCAGACUCCUACGGGAGGCAGCAGUGGGGAAUUUUGGACAAUGGGCGCAAGCCUGAUCCAGCCAUGCCGCGUGAGUGAAGAAGGCCU